rnacentral:tRNA from 1 species
UCCCUAGUAGCUCAGAUGGUAAAGUGUCUGCCUACAAUGUGGGAGACCCAGGUUCGACCCCUGGGUCGGGAA